rnacentral:lncRNA from 1 species
UAUAAUCUUUGACUAAGUAAAUCACUAGGAUCAACUCCCAUUAUAUGAUUAUGAAUGAUACAACAAGCCAAAACUAUAUCUACUUGAGUUUGAAAAUUCCAAAAUGGUUCAGCAUCUAAUACAUGAAACCGUUUCUUCAAAAUCCCAAAAACACGUUCAAUAGUGAUUCGUAAUGAUGAAUGACGAAGAUUAAAGAGUUCCUUUGCAUUUUCAGGC